CAUCAUACAGCCCUGCAUCGCCAAGCUAUAGUCCCACCUCACCAUCAUAUACACCUGGCUCUCCCACCUACAGUCCCACAAGCCCGAAUUACUCCCCAACAAGUCCGACUUACUCGCCUACCAGUCCAUCAUACUCACCCACAUCUCCGAGUUACAGCCCAACAUCUCCUAGCUACAGUCCUACAUCACCAAGCUACAGCCCUACAUCUCCUAGUUAUAGUCCUACAUCACCAAGUUACAGCCCCACCUCACCAGUUUAUAGCCCUACAUCUCCAGCAUACAGCCCUACAUCUCCCGCAUAUAGCCCCACAUCACCAUCUUACAGUCCAACUUCGCCAUCUUAUAGCCCUACAUCACCAUCAUACAGCCCAACAUCCCCCUCAUACAGCCCUACCUCCCCCUCAUACAGCCCUACCUCCCCCUCAUACAGCCCUACCUCCCCCUCGUACAGCCCAACAUCACCUGCAUACAGCCCUACUUCGCCAGGAUACAGCCCAACAUCACCGAGCUACAGUCCUACUUCUCCGAGCUACAGUCCUACUUCUCCGAGCUACAAUCCUUCAUCAGCCAAGUACAGCCCUUCGCAUGCAUACUCUCCAAGCAGCCCCCGGAUGACUCCAUAUAGUCAGAC
rnacentral:lncRNA from 1 species